UGAAAUGAAUGACCUCCCCGGAGGUCAAAGUCACAGCAGUCGCUGUGGAGCACUCUCACUCUGCUCACUCUGCUCACUCUUCUCACUCUGUAAUUCUGAAGCUUCACUCCCACGCUGUGCGGUUCCAAACACAGGGUUCUGAAGUUAAGGAGACAGCGAGGGUAUGUCUGUGUGACGGGUCAUCACAUCACAGCAUCCUAUAACACUCUCAUUUGGUUCCCGUGCCUUCUUAUGACGUGCCUGAUCCUGGCCAAUCAGCAGCUCCAGAGAGAGGAAACCACUUCUUCCUCCUGGAGAGAGAGGAUCCCACUCAUCUGACUUCAAGCUGCCUCCAACGUAGUUUUAGAGAAUUUGGUAGUACGUCCAACUGGCCUCACAACUGCAGACCAAGUGUUACCAUGCCAACCCAGGACCUCCACAUCCGGCUUCUUCACCUGCGGGAUCGUCUGAGACCAGUCAACCAGACAGCUGAUGAAACUGAGUAUUUCUGUCUGUAAGAAAGCCCUUUUGUGGGGCUAAACUCAUUCCGAUUGGCUGGGCUUGGCUCCCAAGUUGGUGGACUUAUGCCCUCCCAGGCCCACCCAUGGCUGCACCCCUGCCCAGUCAUGUGAAAUCUAUAGAUUAGGGUCCCGUACAUUUAUUUAAAUGGUUCGAUUUGCUUAUAUGAACUGUAAAACCGUUUAAAUUGUUGUAUGUUGUGUUUAUAUUUUUGUUCAGUGUAGUUGAGACACCAUAUUGGUUUUUAAAUACAGCAAUAUGUGUCUCAAGUGUUUCCUGGAAGGAUGCUUCCUGUUACUGAACUCUGUGUAAAGCUGUGAUAUACUGUAAAUAUCAAAAACAUACUUCAAGCCAAAAAGAGGAGAGGGGAAGGGGAUUGCUUUUCAUCCACAUCUCUGAAGUGUUUUAACUUCUUUAGGUUCGGAAUGUACUGUAGUUACUCCCCUUCCUUCCCUCCAUCCACCCUGGAAAUCUAACUUACUGUAGAUUCUGAGGGGCCUAUGGAACUCUGAGGGGCCUAUGGAAUUCUGAGGGGCCUAUGGAACUCUGAAGCCAACAUAGUACAUAGCAUCUCAAUAGUUGACUGUAAAUGACUGUUGGUAGUGUAAGUGUCACGCCCUGGCCAUAGAGAGGCUUUUAUUCUCUAAUUUGGUUAGGCCAGGGUGUGACUAGGGUCGGCAUUCUAGUUUCUUUAUUUCUAUGUUUUCUAUUUCUUAGUUUUUUUUGCCGAGUGUGGUUCCCAAUCAGAGGCAGCUGUUUAUCGUUGUCUCUGAUUGGGGAUCACGUAGAAGUUGUCAUUUUCCUUUUCCGAUCUUGUUUUUGUUGUUAGCUCUGUGAAGCCUGCAGAACGUGACGUUCGUGGUUAUUUUGUUUGGUGUUCUGAGUAAAUAAAGAAUCAUGAACACUUACCACUCUGCACCUUGGUCUCCUUCCGACGACAA